rnacentral:lncRNA from 1 species
UUUUUUUUUUUUUUUUUUAAGAUUUUAUGAGGCAGAAGCAGAGAGAGAGGCAGAGACAUAGGCAGAGGGAGAACCAGGCCCCCUGCAGGGAGCCCAAUGUGGGACUUGAUCCCAGCACCCUGGGAUCAUGUCCUGAGCUGAAGGCAGACGCUCAAUCACUGAGCCCCCCAGGCGGCCCUGGUUUUCACAUUCUAGUUACAUAAGGAAUUGGUGUUUGUUUAAAAAUCCUGAUGCCCUCAGUGCAGCCCCAUUGAUUCUGAGUGUACACAUCCAGGCUGGGGCCACGGACACUUUAUUUUUAACGAACACCUUAGGUGAUUCUAAUGGAAGUGGUCUAUGAAACACUGCAUCACAUCAUCUCAACAGCUGUUGUCGCUCCCGUAGUCCUCAGUACCUGGGAACUCGGCCUGGGGCUGGUGCUCUGAAACGUUUGCUAAAAGCUAUGCCACCAACCUGUCCGGACACCUCUACUCUCUGCCAGGCUCAUGCCUUCCUGUCUGUUUCCCUCUGCUCUUUGAUUCCUUUUGUAAGUGAGCCCAAAUAAACGAUCACAUUCUGUAUCUUCUCUUACCCCAACAGCAAUGACAAUCUUAAAUAUUAAAAUCACACUCAGGGUACCUGGGUGGCUCAGUGGUUGAGCAUCUGCCUUUGGCUCAGGUCGUGAUCCCAGGGUCCUGGGAUGAAGUCCCACAUCAGGCUCCCCAUAGGGAGCCUGCUUCUCCCUCUGCCUAUGUCACUGCCUCUUUCUGUAUCUCCCGUGAAUAAGUAAAUACAAUCUUAAAAAAAAAAAAAAUCACACUCAAACCGGGUUACUAACACUACAGGAGGUAUGGUGAUAGGUAAAAAAAAAAAUAGGAUGAAUUUGGAAAACAUCUUUAAUUUUUUAAACAAACACUUUAUGGUGCCAACUAUGUGCCAAUCACAGUUGCAAGGACUUUAUAAAUAUUAACUGUAAGAAUCCUAUGAGAUGGGUGCCUUCCUCCUGUUUUUAUAGGUUAGGACCCUGAAUCCCACUGAAUUUCUGUAGUGCUGAUUCUAUUCAAUGCUUUGAAGGGCAUUUUUACUAUUUUAAAAUAUAAAACGAAUAAUGAUACCGUAUGGAGUUGAACAUAGAAUUUCAGUUAAUAUAUUUUUAAAGAUUUUAUUUAUUUGAGAGAGAGAGACAGCACAUACGAGCAGGGGGAAGGGCAGAGAGAGAGGAACAGGGACAAGCAGACUCCCCUCUAAGUGCAGAGUCAGACUUGGGGUUCGAUCCCAGGACCCUGAACUGAAAUCAGACACUUUACCGACUGAGCCCCCCAGGUGUCCUUCAGUUAAUAUUUUUUUUUCCUUCAGUUAAUAUUUUAAUAGGAGGUGUAAAAUAAAUUUGAUCUUGGGGUCAGCUGCUACAGGCAGACCUUCUGUGAAUAGAGGUUCAAUCUCCUCCACCAUUAGAGGUAUUUCAGUGAGAAAAUUUGAGACUUUGGUAUUAAGGAAUUAGUAAAGCCUUCUUAAGCUAAUCCACCCAAGUAACAAUUUUCUUGAAUAAUAUUAUAUAAUAACGGCUUUCUUAUUUAAGUUUUAUCUCUAACCAUGAAAAUUGAAUGUUUACC